UACACACCACCACUCCCUGUCCCUCUGGAGGGCCACUGGUCCUGCCACAUUGGACUCAGCUGUCAGCUGCAGAAGCCCACAAACACUGGGCAUGUUACCUAAGCAGAACCCUGCAAAGUUCCAAGCCAGGCUCAUGACUCAGUGGGGGAAGCAGUGUUUCUCCCUGAAUCAGCCCCAGCCAGGCCACAUCUGAGGCUUAGCCCAGCCAAGAGUCCAGCCACUGCCCAGCUGCCUGUGGACACACGGGCCCUGUGCUGUCUCAGCUGAGAGGUCCCCAUCUACUGACUCACUCGCACCUGGGGCUUCUUGGCUGGUCAUCUGGAAAGGUACAAACUGAAGUUUUCUUUAUCCAAGGCAAUCUUUUAGAAGUCACCCUACGUUUCUUCAAAGUGUCUGGACGCAGUGUGGAGCGUGGUUUAUUUCGUCCAUGUUGCGGCAGCCUGUGUUGGAACUCGCUGAGGUUUGAAGCCUGUCAUCAACAUACAGACUGACAUGAACUUUCAAUGGGAGUCACAGAGGGCUGUACGGGCAAACAGGAGAAAUGACAGGGUACCAAAGACCGCCCUGUCAGCUGAAGGGCACCCUGGAUGCCUGUCUCUGAGCCCUCACACUCCUGUAACCUGUGAAGAGUGGGCAAGCAGAACAGGUGAUGGGUCAUGCAUCUUCCUGACACACUGUGAAGCAGGAAGAAACAGGAACAGUAGCUCUGUGUUACACGUGAGGAGCGAGAAGCACCAACAUGGGAUGUGUGCUCUGUUUCGGAUGAUUGACCAGCAAGCCCCAAGGAUCUGCCUGUCUCCACCACCCCUCGACCUCCUAGCAUUGGAACUGCAGACAGGAGCUGACACACCCAGGCUUUCACAUGGAUGCUAAGAAUGAUCUAACUCAGGUCUCAGGCUUCCACUGCAAGUGUUGCACCCACUGAGCCAUCCAUCCCGCCCCCUCUACUCUUCGGAAGUUUCCAACCCUAAUAUGGUUUCCGACAAUUGUGUCCAACAAUAAAUAUGUUUUGCUUUAGGGAGGAAAUUCCUCAUUCUCUUCCUUGAGACUCUCUGUUGAACAAAGACAGAUCUUUUGUUAAAAGUAUAAGUUACCAGCUGCCAUAUUCUUGAUAUCUGCAUUCUUUGCAGGGUCUUCAUUCUGGAUUUCAUCUUCAAUAUGGAUCCACAGGCUUUAAGAACAUAACGCUUUCUAAAGAGCUCCAGCAAUGGAAACAGCUGUCAGCUCUUCCACCAAAGAUGCUCAAACCAUCACGCUGUCACAUUUAAAUAUAAGAAGCCCCCAAUAUGGAAGAAGACAUCGCUUCUGGUUACCGUCUUGUGUGUGCUAGCUCUCUUUCACUAAUGUCCACUUAAAAAAUAUACAUCAUAACUUGAGCACAGCGGCACAUGCUUUUAAUCCCAGCACCUGGGAGGCAGAGGCAGGCGGGUCCCUGAGAUUUGAGGCCAACCUGGUCUACAGAGUGAGUUCCAGGACAGCAGGGGCUAUAUAGUUAAACCAUCCAUGUUUUGAAGAAACAAGCAAGUGUAUAUUAUUUACUUAUAUUACAUAUUACAUUGUGCAUAUAUAGUAUAUAUGCAUCAUAGUAAUCUGUCCAUCCCAUACAUUGAAUGAAUUGAUAUUUCAAUCUCCCAAAAAUCUGGAGAAGAAUGUGUGUUCCUUGCUGAGCACUUAAGUGUGUUUAUGAACUGAGUAAAUCAUGCCUUGGCAAAUUAUCGGACUAAA
rnacentral:lncRNA from 1 species